rnacentral:lncRNA from 1 species
CUAGAAUGGGAACCAUAACCCCACUUAUAACUCCUAGGAGUUACAUAACCCAAGAGACAAGAGUUACAAGACAAGAGUAAUGUCUUGCAAGAGUUACAUAACUCAAGAGUCACAAGCAUUCAUGUAACCAUGGUUACAUAUGUAACCUUAGUCAGCCCAUCAUCAACUAAGGUUACACUUUUGGGUAUCUACACAUUAGUCCUACACUUUAG